GUUUUUUUAAUAUAUAUAUAUUUUUAAAAUAAUUUAACCCAUCCAGAUGUGUACACUGAUACACAGCACCACUGGACACUGUAGAGAACCCACGUGUUUCAUAAAUAAAUCAUGCUAAUAUUGUCAUAUUAUGAAUUUUUUUAAAUUAUUUGAUUAUUAUUAUAUUUAGGGGGGUUUCUCCUAUUUUUAAUCAUUUAUAUUAUUAUUAUUUUUUAAUUUUAUUAUUUAAACCCAUCCAUAUGUGUACACUGAUGCAUAUGUGAGUAGUCAUUUUUUCUGAUUAUUUUUUAAGUUUUUUUUUUUAAUCUAUUUAUCUAUAUACAAAUUAUUUUAUAUAUAAUAAGUUUUGCACUUUACCAAAGAUUGGCAUUACACCAUUACUCCAUUUUAAAAAAAAGUAAGGCUUUUUUCAUUUCAAAAUGUUUCUCGUUACAUAAUUGACAUUAUUUCAUACAUGAUAUAUGAGUAUAUUAUAUAAUUGCCAAGAAGGUGCUUGCGUGAAGCUCAUUCGUGCAAGACCCUGCUCCUGAUUUUUAUCAGCUCCUCAAUCAUUGGUUUCAAUCUCCAUAUAUCUCAUGUGAGGAUGGCACCAGCAGACAUGUUGUGGCAGAUAUGGCAUGUCCAGAUAGACUUGUUUCUGGCCAGGUGAAAGCCAAGGCAGUGACUAUGGCUGAGAGACAGCCUGGUGCUGCCAUCCGCAGGUGAGGUCACUGGGUUCAGUGAGUGCACAGCACUUGGAUGAUGGUCACUGGAGACAUCUGAGGCUCUGAUGACACAAACCUGGCCAACUUCACCCACCUCUAAUGUCACGUCUCCUCUCUUCCCGGCCAGACCUCCAAAGAGGGCUUAGUGCUUGCGUGCUGUAUUCGUGUGUGUAUGCCAGACUGCUCAGAAGGAUGUAACUGGAGCGCUCUGUCAGUGCAGGGGGAGGCCAUAGUGCUGCUGCCUGUCUCUUUUGGGGUCAGAGGGGAAAUGGUGCAGGACUUACACAGCUGCCAGUUCCAACCACAGACAUGGGAGAGACUCAGCAAAUGGCCUUUCUGAGUACAUAAACUCCACAAGGAUAUCCUCCCCUGCCACUGACUGUGAAUUACCCAUGAGGCUGUGGGGCUACUUUGGGCCGCCCAUUGUGAUCAGGCCUGUGCACUGAGGUCAUGAGGGGAGCCAGACUGGCAGGCACUCUGCAGCUUCCUCUGAGAUACCAGAUCAAGUAAAUCAGAAUUAGAACUUGUUAUCCCUUCAGGAGCCCUGAUGACUGUGUCUCCUCACCGAGCACCAGACGGUACCAGAGAGGCGGCCCGCUGUGGGAAAAAAAGGUGCUAUUUGGAAUCUUUGAAGAAGCCGUGUCAACAAGCAUUUCUUGUGUUUUUGUUCCUCUCUUGUGCAUUCUUUUGGUGUGGUGAACUUGAGGCUGAGUAAGGCUGAAAGUGUUUGUGUUGGUAUUAAAAUACAAAGGCUCACAGAUGAGGCCUAUUUAAGGGAUAGUUCAACCAAAAAUAAAAAUGCUGUCAUUUACUCA
ensembl:lncRNA